rnacentral:rRNA from 1 species
GAUGAACGCUAGCUACAGGCUUAACACAUGCAAGUCGAGGGGUAACGAGAGGAAAGCUUGCUUUCCUUGUCGACGACCGGCGCACGGGUGAGUAACGCGUAUCCAACCUGCCCCCAACUAGGGAAUAACCUUGCGAAAGUAAGACUAAUACCCUAUAAUUUCCUCAAAUGACAUCUGACGAGGAAUAAAGAUUUAUCGGUUGUGGAUGGGGAUGCGUCUGAUUAGCUUGUUGGCGGGGUAACGGCCCACCAAGGCAACGAUCAGUAGGGGUUCUGAGAGGAAGGUCCCCCACAUUGGAACUGAGACACGGUCCAAACUCCUACGGGAGGCAGCAGUGAGGAAUAUUGGUCAAUGGGCGGAAGCCUGAACCAGCCAAGUAGCGUGCAGGAUGACGGCCCUAUAGGUUGUAAACUGCUUUUAUACAGGAAUAAAGUUAGCCACGUGUGGUUAUUUGUAGGUACUGUAUGAAUAAGGACCGGCUAAUUCCGUGCCAGCCGCCGCGGUAA